UGCUUAUCCACUUCAACUGGUUCGGUCGAAGGUAAGGACGUCGAAUGCUUGGUUGUUUUCGAUUGUGAUUCUGUUCCAUUAUUUAGACUUAGAUACUGAUCUCCCGUUACAGGUUCAUUCAUAGUAGCUGUAAAGGCAGACCUUUUGCUUUGGAGCUCUUGGACAAUAGUGGAAGUUUUAGGACUAUAGAACGGGAUGUCGGGAUGUAAUUGCUCACAGAAUAAUAGGAUGUCAACCAGUUGGGAGAUCGGAAGACUUAAAAGAUAAGACUUUUUCUCUUCCGAAGACAGAUUUAGUUCUCGUGCCGUAGUUCCAGUUACGAGAGGCGCUUGCUUUUUUCUCCUAAUGCAAUCAUCACAAAACCAUUCUCCAUUGGGGGAAUCUAAAAGUUCAUCAGAAAUAUAGGGUUCAUGACAAAGUUGAUGGAAUGGAGUGUUACAACCAUCACAGAAAACGAUGCGAUUUUUUGGUGGAGAUUGAAGUCGUUGACAAACCGAACAUUUCAUAGCUAAUGCGACCACAGGUCGACGACCUGGGCCACGUCGUCUAGUAGGUAAUUUUACAAGGGGAUCGAAAUGAUUAGGGCGAUGCACUUUUCUUCCUGAUUUUGUUUUGACACCUUCCAAAUUAAAUUGCUCUUCCCUACCAUCUUCAGUAGAAAAGAGGGCGUCAGCGGUGUUGUCACGUUCAAUAGCCAAACUGGCAGGCCAUGAUCUUUUCCGAGCAAUGUUCAUAGCAAUUGACAUAGGAGGUAAUGGCGAUGAACUUGCAGGAACAUUUGGGGGUAACGCAGAUUUUGUUUGGGAAUCAGCACUUCUAUGAUGCGCAUAAUUAGAUGAAGAUGCGUCUUCAGUGAAAGGUGCCUGUUCGCUUUUUGCAUCGGUUUCCUGAUUUUUACUAGAUUCUAUUUCUUUAGCAACAUCAUCAUUUUUGUACGAACCGAAAGCACCUGACUCCUUGUUUGGCUCGUGAAAGUGUUGGAACUGAUUUUCCAAAUGCAUGUUUGAAUUCACGUUAGGAUUUUGUAUAUCCUGAAAGGCUUGAUCUAUUAGCACAGAGCCUCCAUUUUGAUUAGAUUCCUCCCCCUCAAACAUCGUUGGAUGCAAAUCAUUGGGAAAUCGACGACUACCGUCGAAUUGAAAAGGAUAUGAUGCCGCUUCAAAAGAACCGCCAUCGUCGUCAUAGUACGAUGAAUUCGGCAUUAGGUUUUAAAUCAUUCAUAUGCUCAUGUAAAAAACAAAUGAAAAAAUGAAGCAAAUGGCAAAAAAUGCGAAUGUGUAAGUUCAACACGCGUGUUUGGAAUUUAGGUGAGAUUUAACGCAACUUAUAAAUCGUUUGCUGCUGUUACUCCAAUUAUGUUUUGCUAGCGAAAUGAGAUUGAUCAUCACUAUAUCUCGCUUAUUCACUUCUCACUACAACUCACUGUCUAGUCAUAUAUAAAUACUGCACGUAUCCAUGAAGAGCUGAAAUCUCACAUUUAUUAGAGCUUUUUUAUUUUUAAUUUUGUUAAAUUUAAUUAUUCAUGCAUUAACUAGUCAUAGCUAUAAAUAUGAAUGAAAAUUUGGUCU